UGAUGUUUGAUUUGGGCUUCAUUUCGUGU
rnacentral:piRNA from 1 species